GACGAACGCUGGCGGCGUGCCUAAUACAUGCAAGUAGAACGCACAGUUUAUACCGUAGCUUGCUACACCAUAGACUGUGAGUUGCGAACGGGUGAGUAACGCGUAGGUAACCUGCCUGGUAGCGGGGGGUAACUAUGGGAAACGUUAGCUAAUACCGCAUAAUAUUGAUUAUUGCAUGAUAAUUGAUUGAAAGAUGCUAUUGCAUCACUACCAGAUGGACCUGCGUUGGUUUAGCUUGUAGGUGAGGUAACGGCGCUCCUAGGCGGCGAUACAGAGCCGCCCUGCUAUGGCGAUCAGCCACACUGAGACUGUGACCCGGCCCAGACUCCUUCGGGUGGCAGCCGUAGUGCAUCGUCGGCAAUGGACGAAAGUCUGACCGCGCAACGCCGCGUGAGUGUACAAGGUUUUCGGGUCGUAAAGCUCUGUUGUCAGGGAAGAACCGGCGUGAGAGUGGAACGUUCACUCUGUGACGGUAUCUUACCAGAAAGAGACGGCUAACUACGUG
rnacentral:rRNA from 1 species